rnacentral:rRNA from 1 species
AUUGAACGCUGGCGGCAGGCCUAACACAUGCAAGUCGAGCGGAUGACAGGAGCUUGCUCCUUGAUUCAGCGGCGGACGGGUGAGUAAUGCCUAGGAAUCUGCCUGGUAGUGGGGGACAACGUUUCGAAAGGAACGCUAAUACCGCAUACGUCCUACGGGAGAAAGCAGGGGACCUUCGGGCCUUGCGCUAUCAGAUGAGCCUAGGUCGGAUUAGCUAGUAGGUGAGGUAAUGGCUCACCUAGGCGACGAUCCGUAACUGGUCUGAGAGGAUGAUCAGUCACACGGGAACUGGGACACGGUCCAGACUCCUACGGGAGGCAGCAGUGGGGAAUAUUGGACAAUGGGCGAAAGCCUGAUCCAGCCAUGCCUCGUGUGUGAAGAAGGUCUUCGGAUUGUAAAGCACUUUAAGUUGGGAGGAAGGGCAGUAAGUUAAUACCUUGCUGUUUUGACGUUACCGACAGAAUAAGCACCGGCUAACUUCGUGCCAGCCGCCGCAGUAAUAC